rnacentral:lncRNA from 1 species
AAGCAGAUUUUGAGAUUUAUUAAAAUAAAGUAUUAGCAAACAAUAUGCAAAAACAAAGUUCUUAAAAGAGUUAUGGCUUUGAAAAGCACAAUAUAGUAAAACCUAAUACAUAUUUAUAAGUAUCAAAAUGAUAACAGAAUUGAAGCAUGUUGCUAGAAUUUCAUUUUCUACAACAUAAACAGAAGGAGAACAAGUACAAGUAAGAAGCAGACCUAUAGUGCAGCCAUUGGUUUGGUCUUUAUCAUCCUCAUAUGAAGCAUCUUUUUAAGAGAACACUGGUAGGAUUACACAUAUAUACCCAGUUUUCAUGAUUACAAUUCUACUCAAUUUUAAUGCAAGCGAUUUUCAAAAUGCAACUUUAACCAACCACGUUGAAAAGCAAAGCACUCGCCCAACUAUUAUCUUCAAGAGUCCCUACAGUUAAAAUACUUUAUGAAUAAAUCAAAGCAACAUCAUCUCCAAUGGUAUUAGACUAUUAUAAAAGAUUUCUGACUCUAAUAAAAGAUUUCUUCUUUAUUUGGGAUUGCUUGGCCUCACUGGAGUUCUGUUAUAGCUAACACCAGCUAGUAGUAAGAAGGUACUAUCUAUCGAUAGGGUAAAAAAAAAAAAAUCUACCUCUACACAAAAAUUCAAACUUUUAAAAAACAGUAUCCUCAAAUAAAUCCUUAAAGGACUAUGGUUUACAACAAUUUCAAAUUUUAAGAAUUUUAAGAACUGAAUUAUUUGGAUGAGAACUAAACAAACCUUUCUCACUCUGUCAUAAAUAACAGAAGAAUCCCGUUCUGAGACUGGAUCUUUUCAACAAAACAACUCAUCACUUGUUUUACAGCAAUUGCUACCAGCAAAUAUUACAGAUAAGCUC